CUGAGAUUCAGGUGUUCCCACCUGCCUCCUGGCCACCAGCUGCAUCUCCACCCACCUGUGCCAGAUUGUGGGGCUGGUUCUGGAGGUCAGAAUUCCAAGCUGAGUCUCACGUGCUAAAAAUUAAGCUGUCAGCAGGAAUGGUUCCUUCUGGAGGUUCCAGAGGAUUGGUGCUCGCCUUGUCCGGCACUCAGCAUUCCUUGCUUUGUGCCUAUGUUACUGCAGUCUCAGCCUCCGUGGUCACCUCGUCCUCUCUUCUUCUGAAACCAAACAUCCCUCUGCUUCUACCUUAAAAGGACACUCAUAAUGACAUCUGGGGCCACCUGGAUGAUCCAGGACAAUCUCCCAUGUCAAGAUCCUUAAAUGUAAUCACAUCUGCAAAGUUCCUUUUGCUACAUAAGGUAACGUUCGUAGCCUUCGGGGAUCAGGACGUGGACGUCUUUGGGGGUGUUCUGCAUCUUACUACACUGGCUGGACCCGAGACAGACUGGAAAUCUUUCUCCAAGCACACACAGAUCCGUUAGCAAAGGAUGGUACCUCACUGGCUCAGGGAGCUUAAGCACAGUCUUUGCCCAAUAGGGAGCCAAACUCCAAACCACGUUGACCCAGAUACAACUUCCAGUUAGCUAGGCUUAAAUAUAAGAACUGGCGGUUGAGAUAUUGAGUAGUGACGUGGGAAGCUGCACAGUAGGGGGGAAGUUGCGCAGUACGGAGCCAGACUAGCCUCUAGACGGAGAAACUAACAAAACAGCAGAUCAACAAGCCCAAGGAGGGACUGGCUAAUCAUAACCCAGAGCCACUGUAAUAGAUCAUCUAACAUGCCCAGUUUUCAACAAAAAAUUGAGACCUGCACAGAAACAGGUUAGUGUGACAGCUGCACAGGAGAGGUAGGAUCUAGACUUUGAACUCUGGGAUAUAUCCUGGUACAUCUGCCCCUUGGGUUUCUCACUGCCAGGAUUAUCUAGAUGGACUUAAGGUAUUUUGUGAGUGAAAAACACAAAAAUGUGUAUAAAAUGAUCCCAUUUUAAAAGGGAACCAGAAUUCCAAAAGCCAUUGUAUGGCUGUACACGUACAACUUCCUGUCAUAGUGUAUAAUUUACAUGUAAUUCCGCGAAUACAGAGAAAAACAUGGAAAUAACCACUUAUUAAAGUAAAUGGAGGGGGUGUGCAAGCCAACGUGCAAAAUUAAAACUGCUCUAAAACGUCA